rfam:Cavia porcellus supercont2_18 genomic scaffold, whole genome shotgun sequence.
UGGCGCCCAACGUGGGGCUGGAGAAUGGGGGAUCCAGUGAGGGUCACUGUUUGUGAAGCCAGCACAAAAACAGAACAGAGGGAAAGUGUACAUGGGAGCCUGCUGUUUUCUGCACCUCAGUGAGUAAACAGCAACUAUGGGACAAGAAAUGAGCCAACAUGAGAUUUUUAUUGAAAUUUUAGGAAAGGCUCUAAAGGUGCGAGUAGUAAAGGUUAAAAUUAAACAAUUGUGUCAAUAUUUUGAUUAUAUAAAAGAAGUUUGUCCUU